CGUGCUGGGGGCGCUGCAGGCGCUCGAGCAGGGGACCCCCCUGGCCUGGCCGGACCCCGAUGGCUCCGCCCCCCCUGAGCAGCCCGACAGGCCGGUGAUGGACGAGCCCGAGCGCCGCGGGACAGGACCCCCGGCCGCCCCU